rnacentral:rRNA from 1 species
CUCGCCCCCCGCGCGCAUUGGAGCGGCGGGGGAAACGAGGCGGCGCGGCAUCUCUCAAGACGAUCUAAACGCCGACGAGCUCGGUCCUUUCGGGUUCUUGUUGCGUGUGCCUCUACUCGAAUCGCGAAGAUCCCCCGAUGAGGAGGCGGCUCCUGCUGCUGGGGCGGCGGCCGCGGCCGCGGCUCGACUCGCUGAGGCCGCUGAGUAGUCGGCUUCUCCGGCCUAGACUGCCUCUGCUCUUCAGGCGAGGUAGCUUCGGCCGACGCUUCGGGGCGGGGGCGCAUUUGGGAUCGGGGCCUCUACCCCUGAGGAGCGACGGGAGCCGCGAUCUACAGAAGCGGCUCUAGAGGCCCGGGGGCCGAAAGGAGUUGGCGUCCCACCGGGUCGGGCUCCUCCAGCCCCUCCGCGAGCCGCACGAGCUAGUGGCGAGGCUGAGGUUCUCCUCUUUCGGCGGUGGAGGGCCACGCCAACACCGCCGCUUUGGUGUCUACCAACGGUAGGCACUUGCUCAAUCGUCACUGCACUUCUUACCACGGUUAGGAGGUCAACGACAACACAGCCGCUUUGGUGUCAACCAACGACCAGUACUUGCUCAAUGGUCACUGUGCUUCUUACCACGGUUAGGAGGUCCAAGUCAACUUCCUUUCUCUUUUUAUCCCCGACGUUUAGGACCAGGUCUUCUACGACGGCUCGAAGAUUCUUACACGGAGGUCACACCAUAUGGUUUCUGGAUAAGUGUGCGCGUUCCUUACCAUACGGGACAAACGUUGCUGUCUGGCCACGUCCGUUUUCUCGGCCUCUUCUUCUUCCCAAGACGACAGUUUCUGUUCCUCUUUCACUUCUCCUACUCUCCCGUCAGCAGUGUACGUAGAACCUUCUCACUUUGACUCUACCGAGACGCCGUUGUUAAGCUGACUGCCCACAGUGGCCCUCACGACCACGUGAGUCAGACAUGUGAUCCAUCUUAGCUUAGAGAAACGAACAAGGUAACGCAGCGCACCGAAGGUCUAACGGUAGCAAAACAAAGAACAUAAACGUCGAGAGACUGUACGUGCCUAAUUCAAAGCGUUCGACAUAUGCAAUUUUACAAAAGGUCGGGUCGGUACAAAGCUCAUUCAAUGAGUCCCGGGGAAACGAAGUCCCUGUAAAAGGACACGGGUAGUCAUUGACCUACUGGAUACUCUAAGGGUACUCUAAAAACGCAUAGUAUCUUCUUAGGGACUUAUGACUUGACCAACACGAAGGACGACAAUAAACGUAACCACUGUACCUUUAGAAUCGGGUACCAGGCUUUAAGCGAAACGUAAGAACGAUUAGUAUCUUCGGAGGUCACACCUCCGUUAAUACAGAUCAUUACACCGCCGUACACCGUAUUGUACCGGUUGUACCCUCGUUGGGUGCCUCUACUUGUCUAGGUCAGGACGG